AGGCUAUGAUGAGAAAAGUCAUGCACCACUCUGAAGAAAUUUUUCUCUUUGUGCUGAUAAAGCAAACUUACAACCCAUUUUACAUCUGAGCCA
rnacentral:snoRNA from 3 species